rnacentral:ncRNA from 1 species
AGCCCAUUCGCAGAGGCUUAUGAGCUGCGGGACGGCGGGUGACGGCGACCACCUAAAAAGCCUA